UGAUUUAUUUGUGGACUGGAAGUCCUUGAAGAUGGAUGGAUACAACAGAUGCAGAGAACUACAUGUUUUCCGGGCAUAAUGGAAAUGUCAGAAGAAAUGUUUAACAUUGUUAUCUGCAGAAAAAUAAAUGAUGGGUCCUUUGGAUGACAGAUAGAGUGCGGUGAUAUAAGGAUGACAUGGUAUGGUUAUGUUUGACAAUCAAAUAAGGGGAUUUGUAACAUAUUUCUUUCAUAUGAAUUUCGAGCUCUUAACAUGUAUGAGUGAUCUGGGUAGAUGAUGCUCACCGAUUUAUUUUUGUAAAUUUGAUGGUAAUUCAUCAUAGUACUACAUGAGGAAGAAUAUAUAUGAUUUCAUUACUA